GAUUUCCCAUAGCGUCAAGCUAGUAAGAUCCCUGAAAGAUGAUCAGGUUGAUAGGUCAGAGGUGGAAGCGUGGCGACAUGUGGAGCUGACUGAUACUAAUCGAUCGAGGACUUAACCAA
rnacentral:rRNA from 1 species